rnacentral:rRNA from 1 species
GAGUUUGAUCCUGGCUCAGAUUGAACGCUGGCGGCAUGCCUUACACAUGCAAGUCGAACGGUAACGCGGGGCAACCUGGCGACGAGUGGCGAACGGGUGAGUAAUACAUCGGAACGUGCCCAGUAGUGGGGGAUAGCCCGGCGAAAGCCGGAUUAAUACCGCAUACGACCUACGGGUGAAAGCGGGGGAUCGCAAGACCUCGCGCUAUUGGAGCGGCCGAUGUCGGACUAGCUAGUUGGUGGGGUAAAAGCCUACCAAGGCUACGAUCCGUAGCUGGUCUGAGAGGACGACCAGCCACACUGGGACUGAGACACGGCCCAGACUCCUACGGGAGGCAGCAGUGGGGAAUUUUGGACAAUGGGCGCAAGCCUGAUCCAGCCAUGCCGCGUGCGGGAAGAAGGCCUUCGGGUUGUAAACCGCUUUUGUCAGGGAAGAAACGGUUUGGGUUAAUAACUCAGACUAAUGACGGUACCUGAAGAAUAAGCACCGGCUAACUACGUGCCAGCAGCCGCGGUAAUACGUAGGGUGCAAGCGUUAAUCGGAAUUACUGGGCGUAAAGCGUGCGCAGGCGGCUUUGCAAGGCAGAUGUGAAAUCCCCGGGCUCAACCUGGGAACUGCAUUUGUGACUGCAUCGCUGGAGUGCGGCAGAGGGGGAUGGAAUUCCGCGUGUAGCAGUGAAAUGCGUAGAUAUGCGGAGGAACACCGAUGGCGAAGGCAAUCCCCUGGGCCUGCACUGACGCUCAUGCACGAAAGCGUGAGGAGCAAACAGGAUUAGAUACCCUGGUAGUC